rnacentral:rRNA from 1 species
UACGAAGGGGGCUAGCGUUGCUCGGAUUUACUGGGCGUAAAGGGCGCGUAGGCGGAUGUCUAAGUUGGGGGUGAAAGCCCGGGGCUCAACCUCGGAAUUGCCUUCAAUACUGGACGUCUAGAGUACGGGAGAGGUGAGUGGAACUCCGAGUGUAGAGGUGAAAUUCGUAGAUAUUCGGAAGAAACACCAGUGGCGAAGGCGACUCACUGGCCCGUUACUGACGCUGAGGCG